rnacentral:rRNA from 1 species
AACGAACGCUGGCGGCGUGCUUAACACAUGCAAGUCGAACGCACCGCAAGGUGAGUGGCGCACGGGUGAGUAACGCGUGGGAAACUGCCUCUUGGUUCGGAAUAACACCGGGAAACCGGUGCUAAUACCGGAUACGCCCUUAGGGGGAAAGAUUUAUUGCCGAGAGAUGUGCCCGCGUUGGAUUAGCUAGUUGGUGAGGUAAUGGCUCACCAAGGCGACGAUCCAUAGCUGGUCUGAGAGGAUGAUCAGCCACACUGGGACUGAGACACGGCCCAGACUCCUACGGGAGGCAGCAGUGGGGAAUAUUGGACAAUGGGGAAACCCUGAUCCAGCAACGCCGCGUGAGUGAUGAAGGUCUUCGGAUUGUAAAGCUCUUUUGGCAGGGACGAUGAUGACGGUACCUGCAGAAUAAGCUCCGGCUAACUUCGUGCCAGCCGCCGCUGUAA